GUUUUGGUUCAGAGGUAGACUUCUUGCCUUCCACGCAGCAGACCCAGGUUCAAUUCCUGGCCAAUAUA
rnacentral:tRNA from 1 species